AUUUUUUCCGUAUAUAAAAUUUAUAUAUAAAUUUAACAUGUUAAAAUGAGAAAAUAUGUGAAAAACAUCAUCUAUAUGUAAUGCUGCAUAAUCUGUAUGUAAGUAAAAGAAAUAAUUAUUUAAAAUAAAAUCUAAAAAUUCUUUCCCCUCUUUUAUUAUCACAUUUUUCCACUACUUUUCAAAUUCUAAAAAUUUUACAAUUUUUUUCCCCUUCUUACAAUCAACCUUUUCCCUCAAUUUUUCAAAAUCUAAAAAUUUUACAAAUUUCAUUCAAAAUUUAUCAAUAAUCUUGGUCAUUAUUCCAAGUUCUCUGAAAGGAUGAACCCUAAGAGGGUUUCUUCUCCUUCAUUGUCGCACCUUCUCUAGAGAUAUACGAAGCCUUUCGAGUUCUCAAAGUCGAACUCUCUCACUCUCAGUUCAGCGCCUCCCCUUGCCUCCACUCUUGUUCACUCUUAGCUCAGUCCGUCAUUCACUGUGGUUGGCUUCACCCAUCUUGCCCGAGUCCUUUCUCACCAUCACUCUCCAUCGCCGGCAGUCCAUGCCACCGUCUCGCCAUGAGUCCCUUUCGUAAGUACUCCCUUUGGAUCUCAUUCGCUCUCGCUUGCUUCUGUCCAUAAGGCCCCCUCGGAGUCACUCCAUCUGGUAAUAGCUUCUUUCAUGGUUCAUUCAUAAAACCCUAAAAUUGGAAGAUUAGAAAACCUUAAUUUAAGAUAUUUUCGGUGAAAUGUUUUUUUUUCUCAUUAUGUUUUUGUUGAAGUUUUCUUUAAAAUCGUGGAAAAUAGGAUAAUGUGAGUAAAGCCCAUGAAAGACUUACUCACUCACACUCGUCAAUGGUGAGGUAGUGGACGAAGCAUAACGAACGAGGAACCCUAGGUUUUGGUGUCGAAGAAGGAAAGUGUCGAACAAACCCAAAAUUUUAGUGUUUGUUCGGUGAAGGUUAAAGAUCUGGCGGUGCAGGUGGUUUAAUCGGUGAAAUAGUCCGAUUAAUCGGUGGAAUGAGUGGUUGAUCGGUGGAAAGGUUUCGAAUAUGUGCAGAGGAAGUUCUAAACGGGAGAAUGAAAGAUAUGGUUCGAUGAGGAUGCGAGAGAAUAACAAUUCAUUCAAAUUUUCUCGUUAUAAGCCAGUAAUUCUUUGGCUUCUGAAGGAACCUGCCGCGAAGACUACCUUAGGUUAAACAAGGUGUGUUCUUUUAUGAUAGAAAAUCUUUUAUAACUUCAUAACAGCAAUCCUUGCUUCAUUGAAGUAUUUGAUUUGAUAUUGUAUAAUGAUUUAAGUAUUGAAUAAGAUUCUUAAUUUCUUGCAACUUUUAUCUUAAUAUACAUUUGCUUACAGUUGUAUCUGGUUCUUUCAAACCAGGCUGCGUUCGUCAAAGAAUUGAUGGCUGCACAUGAUAUCCUGCUUGAUGACCUAUUAAGAAUANNNNN
rnacentral:lncRNA from 1 species